rnacentral:rRNA from 1 species
UACGUAGGGUGCAAGCGUUGUCCGGAAUUAUUGGGCGUAAAGAGCUCGUAGGCGGCCUGUUGCGUCGGCUGUGAAAACCCGGGGCUCAACUCCGGGCCUGCAGCCGAUACGGGCAGACUAGAGUUCGGCAGGGGAGACUGGAAUUCCUGGUGUAGCGGUGAAAUGCGCAGAUAUCAGGAGGAACACCGGUGGCGAAGGCGGGUCUCUGGGCCGAUACUGACGCUGAGGAGCGAAAGCGUGGGGAGCGAACAGG